rnacentral:rRNA from 1 species
CCUUAGUAACGGCGAGUGAAGCGGCAACAGCUCAAAUUUGAAAUCUGGCCCUUGUGGGGUCCGAGUUGUAAUUUGCAGAGGAUGCUUCGGCGUCGGCCCGGGCCUAAGUUCCCUGGAACGGGACGCCUUAGAGGGUGAGAGCCCCGUACGCGGCCUGGCGUCUUCGCCGCUAGAAGCUCCUUCGACGAGUCGAGUUGUUUGGGAAUGCAGCUCUAAAUGGGAGGUAAAUUUCUCCUAAAGCUAAAUACUGGCCAGAGACCGAUAGCGCACAAGUAGAGUGAUCGAAAGAUGAAAAGCACCUUGAAAAGGGAGUCAAAAAGCACGUGAAAUUGUUGAAAGGGAAGCGCUUGCGGUUAGACCCUUUUGCGGGUGCUCAUCCGGGCUUUUGCCCGGUGCACUCUCCCGCGAUCGGGCCAGCAUCGGUUCGCGCGGCCGGAUAAAAGCUCCGGGAAUGUGGCUCCUCUCGGGGAGUGUUAUAGCCCGUUGCGUAAUGCGGCCAGCCGGGACCGAGGUCCGCGCUUUGGCAAGGAUGCUGGCGUAAUAGCUGCAAGCGGCCCGUCUUGAAACACGGACCAAGGAGUCUAACAUCUAUGCGAGUGUUCGGGUGUCAAACCCGUGCGCGUAAUGAAAGUGAACGGAGGCGGGAGCCAUUUGGCGCACCGUCGACCGAUCCUGAUGUCUUCGGAUGGAUUUGAGUAGGAGCAUAGCUGUUGGGACCCGAAAGAUGGUGAACUAUGCCUGAAUAGGGUGAAGCCAGAGGAAACUCUGGUGGAGGCUCGCAGCGGUUCUGACGUGCAAAUCGAUCGUCAAAUUUGGGCAUAGGGGCGAAAGACUAAUCGAACUAUCU